rnacentral:misc_RNA from 1 species
AGAAAAAAAAGAAAAUCAUCGGAGUGUGUAACACGUGUCCGAAGACGUAUACGAAUACGUAAUUCUUUCAAAAGAGAGACAAACCCGGUGUGUGUGAUAUCGUUUUAUCGGUGUACCAAACUAUCAACGCGAUAACCAUGGAUAUCCUACCAAGUGGUAACAUAUUCAGGGAGUUGCAGGACAUCCACGAUACCGGAUAUUUCUCCGCUCAGCCAUCGCUCGAGGAUCAUUGGCAACAGGUGAGAAUCGUUCACGAAUUAAUGAUCGCUUCGGCCUA